rnacentral:lncRNA from 1 species
AUGGCCACUGAGCACUGUAGGAGUGCCCAUGGGGUUGGAUGGCAGCUGAUCCUCCUCUGCAUUGCAGCCACACAUGGGGACAGGGACACAGAAGGACAGGGACACAGCAGGACAGCGAGAUGCUACAGUCCUCACCCGCAUUCAUACCCGGACAAGAGGGCCACGCUCCUCAGGACAGCUGCUUGCACCAGACCUAUUGAUUGCGGUGGGUUUUUCCACACAUGUCCAUGGAAGUGGCUGGCAGACCAGCAACCUGGUGAGCAGGGCAAUGAUGGGGAGGGCAGCACAGAGAACCAGGGCACGUGGCUGCUCCUUUCUUCCUUCCCAUCUGCCUUGCAGAUGGGGCACCCAAAUGAAGAUGGAGCCAGAGCAGGAUACACGUCUAUCCUCAUCUCACUAAUUGGUCUCCACGCUGCCGUAAGAAAAGAUAAGUCAGCCACAAACAGUACCCCUUCUAGUUUCCGAGGGUCCCUGGAAGCUCCCCAAAGUCCCCCUGCCCGCACCACAACAUUUGAUACUGCUUUGCAGAGACCUGGCCCCACGGCAGGUGCUGGCACCAGGCAUAUUGAAUGCAGGGGCCCUUUCAGCACACUGCCAUGAAAAUGGCUGGCAGACCAGCAACCCGGAUCUGGGGAUCUGCACUGCAUGGACAGAGGCAGCUCCACAGCACCUCUCAGCUACGGUCCCCACCACGGACCUGCGCACAUGUAAGUUUUCCACAGAGAUAAGCAGUUGCUUAUGUCUGCUCACCUUAGGAUGGUGUCAGGAAGUUGAGUAUCGCACACAUCAGCAUCUCAAGGAACCAUAUGGACCUGUCUACAAUUGACCUUUGAAGAUAAGGAACAAACAAGAAGCUAAAAAAGGAUGAAUGGGCCCAACUGAGAAAUACCAGAGACACCACAUCCAGAAGAGAAGGCAAGCACCGUAACUGAGCAUGCUCCUGAGACUGGGGAUGAAAGUUUAGGAGCAUUGAAGACUGUCAGCCUUCCUUCCUUGACCCCCAGAUGACCACUGAGAAGCUAUCACAGAAUUAACAAUAAAUUUAAAAACCUUCAAAAUAAACUUUCUGAU